rnacentral:rRNA from 1 species
GCGCAGCAGUCGCGAAAACUCCGCAAUACGCGAAAGCGUGACGGGGCCAUCCCGAGUGCCGUCCGCUGAGGAUGGCUUUUCCCUAGUGUAGAUAGCUGGGGGAAUAAGGAGAGGGCAAGUCUGGUGUCAGCCGCCGCGGUAAUACCAGCUCUCCGAGUGGUGGGGAUGUUUAUUGGGCCUGAAGCAUCCGUAGCUGGCUGAGCAAGUUCUCCGUUAAAUCCAGCGAUUUAAUCGUUGGACUGCGGAGGAUACUGUUCGGCUAGGGGGCGGGAGAGGCCGACGGUAUUCUCGGGGUAGGGGUGAAAUCCUAUAAUCCCGGGAGGACCUGCAGUGGCGAAGGCGGGUAGCCAGAACGCGCUCGACGGUGAGGGGCGAAAGCUGGGGGAGCGAACCGGAUUAGAUACCCGGGUAGUCC